UUAGCAGAGAUGCUUUGGUGCCUUCGGGAACUCUGAGACAGGUGCUGCAUGGCUGUCGUCAGCUCGUGUUGUGAAAUGUUGGGUUAAGUCCCGCAACGAGCGCAACCCUUAUCCUUUGUUGCCAGCGAUUCGGUCGGGAACUCAAAGGAGACUGCCGGUGAUAAACCGGAGGAAGGUGGGGAUGACGUCAAGUCAUCAUGGCCCUUACGAGUAGGGCUACACACGUGCUACAAUGGCGUAUACAAAGAGAAGCGACCUCGCGAGAGCAAGCGGAACUCAUAAAGUACGUCGUAGUCCGGAUUGGAGUCUGCAACUCGACUCCAUGAAGUCGGAAUCGCUAGUAAUCGUAGAUCAGAAUGCUACGGUGAAUACGUUCCCGGGCCUUGUACACACCGCCCGUCACACCAUGGGAGUGGGUUGCAAAAGAAGUAGGUAGCUUAACCUUCGGGAGGGCGCUUACCACUUUGUGAUUCAUGACUGGGGUGAAGUCGUAACAAGGUAACCGUAGGGGAACCUGCGGUUGGAUCACCUCCUUA
rnacentral:rRNA from 1 species